rnacentral:rRNA from 1 species
UACGGGGGGGGCAAGCGUUGUUCGGAAUUACUGGGCGUAAAGGGCGCGUAGGCGGUGCUCUAAGUCGGAUGUGAAAACUCUGGGCUCAACCCAGAGCCUGCAUCCGAAACUGGAGUGCUAGAGUUCUGGAGGGGGUAGCGGAAUUCAUGGUGUAGCAGUGAAAUGCGUAGAGAUCAUGAGGAAGACCAGUGGCGAAGGCGGGUCUCUGGGCCGAUACUGACGCUGAGGAGCGAAAGCGUGGGGAGCGAACAGG